UACGGAGGGUCCAAGCGUUAUCCGGAAUCAUUGGGUUUAAAGGGUCCGUAGGCGGGCGAUUAAGUCAGAGGUGAAAUCCCACAGCUCAACUGUGGAACUGCCUUUGAUACUGGUUGUCUUGAGUUACAGUGAAGUAGAUAGAAUAUGUAGUGUAGCGGUGAAAUGCAUAGAUAUUACAUAGAAUACCGAUUGCGAAGGCAGUCUACUAACUGUUAACUGACGCUAAGGGACGAAAGCGUGGGGAGCGAACAGGAUUAGAUACCCUGGUAGUCCACGCCGUAAACGAUGGUCACUAGUUGUUGGGGCGUUUGCCUCAGUGAUUAAGCGAAAGUGAUAAGUGACCCACCUGGGGAGUACGAUCGCAAGAUUGAA
rnacentral:rRNA from 1 species